AUGCGAGAAAGGCAGGCAGAAGGUAGAACGUGUAAUUACUGCAAAGGCGGUGGGCAUUGGAAGAGUGAGUGUCCAGUCCUCAAAUCAAAAAAUAAAUUCUCCGGUACGCAAGUAAGACCAGCGGCUUUGGCCAGUUCACUCAGCCCAGCGGUAGUGGUUGAGGAGCAGGUUGAAGCCAGGCGGCAGAAGAGCAUGGAGGGUUUUGGACCGUUCAUUUCUGAGGGUUUGGUCUCUUUGCCGGGUAGUGUUGAACAGGUGCCAGUAAAGAUACUGCGGGAUACCGGCUCAUUGGACUCAUUUGUGUGCAAGUCUGUUUUACCCUUCUCGUCGAAGACUGACACAGGACACUUUGUGCUGGUCAGAGGAAUGGGGAUGGUGGUGUUCCCUGCACCUGUGCAUAGGCUGUGUCUUGACUCAGGUUUGGUGAAGGGAGAUGUUGAGAUGGGUGUGCGCACUGAGUUGCCGGUGGAUGGGGUGGACAUCAUUCUGGGGAACGGUCUUGCUGGGGUGCAGGUGUGGGCUGAUGGUCCUUCUCCCAAUAUAGUCACUAAAAGUGUGCCUGGUCAAGGUCGACCAGACAGGGUAUCAGAUGUUGCCGUUGUGUAUCCGGUCUGUGCUGUGACGCGGGCCAUGACCACUGCGUGUGACGCACAGAGUCUUGCUACCAAGAAGUCAGAGUUGGAACCUGCUGAACUUUGUGUGACUUUGCCUGAUCAGUUUAAGUCUAUGUCACGAUCUGAGUUGGUUGCAGAGCAGGAAAAGGAUGAUAGUUUAAAAGAACUGUUUGACAAAGUACUUUCGCUUGGUGAGAUACUUAGGUCUGCUCAAGGCUAUUUUAUUCAGGAAGGCUUAUUGUUUAGGAAAUGGGUGCCUCAUGGAGAAGCUUUUGUUUGGGAACCUGUUUUUCAGUUUGUAGUGCCAAGAAGGUUUCGGGACUUGGUGUUACAAACUUGUCAUAAUAAUGUAGCUGGGCAUCCAGGGGUAAAGAAAACAUAUGACCGGGUGUUGCGGUACUGUUUUUGGCCCCGCCUGAAGCGUGAUGUUUUGGCUUAUGUCAAAACCUGUCAUACAUGUCAGUUAACCGGCAAGCCAAACAAGUCAAUCAGACCGGCUCCACUUUGUCAAAUUCCUGUGGUUGAGCAGCCAUUUGCACAUUUGAUUAUUGACUGUGUCGGGCCGUUGCCUUGUUCAAAACUU
rnacentral:lncRNA from 1 species